GAGAGCCCGCUGCUGGGAAACCAGCACGGCGGGUUCGGGAGGGGGGCGUUGGAAAAGGACUGAGAAGUACCUCGCCAACGCCCUACCUCGC
rnacentral:ncRNA from 1 species